AGAUUACAGACAUUGUAUAGGAAUACACUGUGAAAAUCCCUAUCCUGUUUUGUUCUGAUCUAAUUACCGGUGCAUACAGCCCCCAGUCAGUACCCCCUGCUUGCUCAAUCGAUCACGACCCUCUCACACGCACCCCCUGAGAGUUGUGAGCCCUUAAAAGAGACAGGAAUUGCUCACUCGGGGCUCGGCUCUUGAGAUGCCCCUGGCCGAAUAAACCCCUUCCUUCUUCAACUGCGUGUCUGAGGAGUUUUGUCUGCAGCUUGUCCUGCUACAUUUCUUGGUUCCCUGACCGGGAAGUGAGGUAAUUGGCAAAUGGUCAAGGCAUCUCCUUAGGCGGCUUAAGCCUGCCCUGUGGAACAUCCCUGCAGGGGACUCUGACCAGCCUGAGCGAGGCGGAUCCUGAGAGCGCUCCUGGGUAGGCAUUUGCCCCCGUGGGACGCCCCGCCACAGCAGUGUGUGGCAGGCCCCUGUGGAGGAUCAACGCAGUGGCUGAACUCCGGGAAGGAACUGCAGACCCGACCUUCGGGACCAGCCAUGGGCAUCAGUAGACUGGGAGUUAUACGUGGAUGGGAGCAGCUUCAUUAACCCACAAGGAGAAGGAUGUGCAGGAUAUGCGGUGGUAACUUUGGAUGCAGUCAUUGAAGCCAAACCGUUGCCACAGGACACUUUAGCCCAGAAGGCUGAGCUCAUUGCUUUGACUCGGGCUCUAGAACUCAGUGAAGGUAAGACUGUAAACAUCUACACUGACUCUCCAUAUGCCUUUCUAAUCCUCCUAGUGCAUGGAGCAUUGUAUAAGGAAAAGGGUCUCUAAAACUCUGGGAGAAAGGACAUAAAAUAUCAACAAGAAAUUCUGCAAUUAUUAGAGGCAAUGUGGGAACCUCAGAGGGUGGCAGUCAUGCACCGCAGGGGACACCAGCGAGCCUCCACCUCAGUGGCCUUAGGAAACUCUCGAGCUGAUUCAGAAACUCAGAAAGCAGCAUCUACCCUUACCGGGCAUCGGUAGCAGCCCCCUUACUCCCUCAACCACCUGACCUGGUACCUACCUAUUCUAAGGAAGAAAAAGACAUUUAGUUGUAUCAUUUAUGAAUCCCCACCAGUCUUCAGUCCUUAAUCUUAUUUCAAAAACUGUGGACAUGGGAGGCUCAGAGGGGUCAUAACACACAUCUGGUUGGUCGUUUCCUGGGCUACAUACCUUGUACUGAGUGUCCUUACAUAAACAUGUUCCUUAAAAGUUUCCUGCUAAAGACCUAGGCUGUCCCUUGCUCCUGUACGUGGACGAUCUUCUGCUAGGACACUCCACAGUAGUCAGGUGUGCAAAAGGGACUGAUGCCCUGCUUCAGCACCUGGAGGACUGUGAGUAUAAGGUGUCCAAGAAGAAAGCUCAGAUCUGCAGACAGCAGGUAUGCUACCUGGGAUUCACUAUUCAGAAAGGGGAGUGCAGCACAAUAUGAGGCAAGGCCCCACUGUUCCACCCGGCAUACAAGCUUAUGGAGUUGGCUUCUUUAGAGGAUCUUCAGGUAGAUUUCACAGAAAUGCCAAAAUGUGGAGAUAACAAGUACUUGCUGGUUCUUGUGCAUACAUACUCUGGGUGGGUGGAGGCUUAUCCAACAUGAACUGAAAAGGCCUACGAGGUAACCUGUGUGCUUCUCCGAGAUCUUAUUCCUAGGUUUGGACUGCCCCUACGAAUCGGCUCAGAUAACGGGCCGGCGUUUGUGGCUGACUCAGUACAGAAGAUAGCAAAGGCAUUAGGAAUCACCUGGAAUUGAUUCCAGGUGAUCUCGAGUGGAUCAAGGACUGGAACAUAGUCCCUUUGCAGCCACGGUGGAAAGGACCUCAGACCGUCAUCCUGACCACCCCCACAGCUAUAAAGGUAGAAGGAAUCCCAGCCUGGAUCCACCACAGCGUGUGAAACCUGCAGCCGAUGAAACCUGGGAGGCAAAACUGAGCCCGGACAACCCCUGCAAGUGACUCUGAGGAGGACGACAAGCCCUGCUCCAGUCACACCUGGAAGCUGACUGGUCUAUGCACGGCCGAAGCAUGAGAAGAAUCAUCAUGGGACUCAUUUUUCUCAUAAUUUGGACUUGUAAAUACUUCCACUGAUUUUCCCCACAUGGAAGACUGUUCUCAGUGUACACAUCAGGUUACCAAUGUAGGGCAACAAGUUAAAACAAUAUUUCUGUUCUAUAGUUACUAUGAAUGCCUAAGAACUUUAAAAGGAACAUGUUUAUGUAAGGACACUCAGUACAAGGUAUGUAGCCCAGGAAACAACUGACCAGCUGUGUGUUAUGACCUCUCUGAGCCUCCCAUGUCCACAGUUUUUGAAAUAAGAUUAAGGACUGAAGACUGGUGGGGACUCAUAAAUGAUACAAGUAAAGUAUUAGCCAGAACAGAAGAAAAAGGGGGGCCCAAAUGCAUAAUCUUGAAAUCUGAUGCCUGUACUGUCAUUAAUAGCAAUAAGUUAGGAAGGGGAUGUGGCUCUUUUAGUUGGAAAAAAGGCCAUAUGACCGAAAAUAAGUACAUUUGUCAUGAAUUAGGACUGUGUGGAAAUGAAUGUGGAUACUGGUCUUGUGUCAUUUGGGCCACUUGGAUAAAAAAUGAAAAGGAUCUAGUCCACCAUCAGAAUGGAAAAAAUGGCCCUUCCUGCACUAAGGGACAAUGUAACCCCUUAAAGCUAAUAAUAACCAAUCCCCUCGAUCCUCGCUGGAAAAAAGGGGAGCGUGUGACCUUAGGAAUCGACGGGGCUGGAUUGGAUCCCGAGUAAAUAUCUUGGUUUGAGGAGAAGUUUACAAACACUCUCCUGAGCCAGUGUUUCAAACUUUCUAUGAUGAACUCAAUGUACCAGUACCAGAAAUUCCAGGAAAA